GGGUGUGAGGAUGAUCUGGCUGGGACGUCCGUUACUCUGUUGAUCGCCAGGGUUAGUUCAGCUGAUCUGGCUGGCUAGGUGGGUGUCCCCUUCCCCUGCACAGCUCUGCGUCCCUGAAUGAGGGAGCACGGGUCUUCAGCCAAUAUGAAUAGCUUCUGUACAUGAAUGGCUGCGCUCUCCUGCCGGAACUGCCAAGCACACUCCCAAGAACCCAACGUGCUCUUGCACACUCAUAACACUCCUCCAAGAAUAUAUGUUAAAAGCUAGCAGUACGCUUGCCUUU
rnacentral:snRNA from 1 species